GGCGGGAGCGAGGCGGGAGCGAGGCAGGUGUGCGGGCGCGGGGAAGGAGCGCGGCGCAGGCGGGCGGGGACGAGGCAGGUGAGCCGUCCGUCCACCCCACGACCAGCCUUGGGAACUGCAGGGCUGGGAACCCGGAGAAGGCGGCUGGAAUCUGGAGGAGCCUGGAGGUGGCCUUCCCUGCCGGGAACACAGGCCAGGCCCCAUCUGUAUCUAACCUUGUACUGGAGGAGCGCAGAGCGGAUAUCUCCAGAUCUGAGUCCUGAACGCGCGGCCGGGAACCCCAGCAGUCCUGAACUUGUCAGGGGAGCGGCCUGCCGUGAGAGGUCUCCCAGGCGGCUGUAAGGCCUCUGGAACCUCCCUGCUCGGAGGAGGUUGACUGGGGACAGGGCCGUGGAGGUCAGUAAAAGGGACUGCUGCCAUUAGCCCUGUGCUGUCUGCACACAGAGAUUAAGCCCACUUGUGAUUUGUUCCAGCUGAUCUGAAGUAAUGAGUAAUUCACAAUUAAUGAGCACGGCUGUACACAGCCCUUCCUGGACAAAUCCUCGACUGUGUAAAACUAAGAUUGAAUGCAAACCAUUCUGUCAAUUAACCGUUACAACAAAGCCAAACUUCUGUUAAACAUCACUUCGUAGAUGAUUUUUUUUCCUUAAAUUGCCUCCUUGUCUGCAAAGCCUGUUUUGCAAGUGGAAUGCUUAAGUCACAUGAGUGGAAAUGCAGCCUUAUUUACAGUUUAGCAAAAGCAACCUGAGAAUUUGCUUCCAAGGACCUCAUGUUCUCCAGAGGUCGGAGUACGAGGAAUCACUUCAUUGGAAAGGACUUGGUAAAGAGUAGCCGUGUAGCUGCCAGAAUGCACUGUAGACUCAUGAUAAGGUGGUGAGGGCCAGGGGUGAGGGGCCACAGGUGGCUUCUGCACCUCCAAGCACAUGGUAUCCAGAACUGGGCUUGCCUCCCACCUUCCUUCCUGCACAUUUCCUGCUGCCAGAAAUUUGCUUUUCACUGACUUCCCCCUAAUUCAAAUUUGAUUAGAAUCUCCUCUUUGGGAACAUUCAAAGUGCCAAGGUGCAUCUCAGAAAUGCAAGGUUGCAGGGGCGGGGUCCUGAAAUCCAAGGGUGGUGGGGCCUGAGAUCACUGCCCUGGCAGUAGGAAGAUCCUCGGGGAGAGGCCGGCAGAGGGCCUGGACCGAAGGCACUGACACCCUGGAGAGGCACAGGACGGGGGGCCUGGGACCUCAGAGCUGGCUGGGUUGAGGUAGUGUGGUCUUCAUUCAGAGGGAAGUGAGGUGGUGAGGAAAGAUGAACAGCGUCAUGUGGGCAGCAGCGGAGGAAGUGACGCAAGACACCCCACAGCUUUGGGUUCACUGAGUGGGCAGUUAUAUUUAUUUAUUUUAUUUUAUUUUUGUAGAGAUGGGGUCUCGCUGUUGCCCAGACUGGUCUCGAGCUCUUGGCCUCCUAGACUGCUGGGAUUACCAGUGAGAGCCAUUGCAGAUGACCAGUUUUCUUUAUUUUUAAUUGUUUAUGCAAAAGUUUUGGUGAAUACUGGCUAUAUGGAGAGGCCUCAGUACCAAUUGCCAGGGGCCUGGAGUAGGUGCAGUGGUCUCAAUGUGUGUGUCCCCCCAAACCAUAUGUUGACACGUAACCCCCAAGGUGAUGUGGUUGGGAGAUGGGGCUUUAAGCAGGUGACUGGGCCGUGAGGGCUCUCCUCUCAAGAUGGAUGGGUGCCCUUCUGUCCCUUCCUCCAUGUGAGGACCCAUAGAAGGUGCCAUCUCUGGGGAACAGGUUGUCACCAAACGCCAGAUCUGCUGACGCCUGGAUCCUGGACUUGUUGGCCUCCAGAACUGUGUGCAGCACAUUUCUGUUGUUUAUUCAUCACAUGGUCUGAGGUAUUUUGUUACAGCAGCACAAAUGGACCAAGACCCCAGGUCUCCAAAUCGAAGAACUGCACAGCAGCCCCUCAGUGCUGGUGGGAGGCAGAGAUUCCCUGCAGGUCUGCACAGAUGGUGUUAGACUUGGGGGACACUGGGUCCCCAGUAAGAAUGAUUCUGCUGUGAGUGCAGCUAGUGAAGGCUGAGUUCAAGCUUGAAAGACAAGAGCCAGACGGGUUCCUGAGACAGCCUGAUCCCCAAGACCUUCGUGUGCCCAAGUCUCCAGGGGGAUGAACCUCAAAGGACCUGGUUCGACCUCCCUCAGGCAGUGGGUGCCGCCUGGAGGUCGGGGUCACUUGAGACCGUACGAGACUCUGCGCGUGGUGACCACAUCACCCCAUAAUAAAGCAGCCCACGAGGGCAUCCGGGCUGUUCAGCCGUGUGCACUGAGGUCAUCUUUUCUACUCUGUGUCAGGUAUUUAAAGGCUGACCGUGACUCACCAUGUGGAUUUAGUGGCUCAUUGAGGAGUUGCAGCCCAUGCUUUUUAAAAAGGUAAUCUACAAAAAAUAAAUGAAAAGGUCUCCAGGACAGUAGACCAAGUGCGGAUGUGGUCCCUCGAGUUCCGUUUUUCAGCCGCCCGCAUUCCUAGGAUUCAGACCCGUUGGGGAUUCAAAUUGCACAGGAAAACCCUAUAUCGGUUCAGGGGGAUGGUGGUGAAUUGGGGGUGGGUGUACCGGACCGGAGCUCCGGGGGCUACGGAAGGAAAGUCAAGCCUGUGAAUUGCAGAGCCUGGACAGAGAAGUCGAGGUGAUGGCGUUCUGCAGAUCCCUGAAAUUCUGUGACAUGAAGGGACAGCCCCAUGUGGCCCCUUGGAAGGACCAAGGCCCUGCCCAGCGCCUUGUACAAGGCGGCAAUCGGUGUUGGCUCCACCAACCCGCACCCUCAGGCCUUCUGGAAAGAGAAGGAGAUCCGACUGACUGAGCCUCUCCAAACUUCCAAGCACUGCAGAUACCUCGUUCAAGCCCAGUGCUGCAUGACUGACCCGAAGCCAGAGUCUGCAUUCCUUCCCCGGCCUGCAGGAAGGGAUGAGGCUCCUGUCACAAGAAGUGUUCCGUCAUCAGCCAGGCAGACGCUGGCUGUGGAUUCUAGGGGAGCAUCGAGUACCAGGGACAAUGUUUGCUUGGGUUCCCCCGUCCCGCCCGAGCCCAGAACGCGGAGCCGGAGUCAGGGGCUUGUACAUGGAGCGUUUCAUGCCCAGGAGGCUGGGGCAGGGGCCGGGAAGGAGCGAGCGGGCCAGGACCAGCGCACUGUGCUGAGGGUCGCGUUGAGGGCUGGACCCUGGACCUCCACAAGCCUGGAGAAUGUUCCCUCUGGGCAGCGAGGGGCCUCUGCUUGUUGUCAGCUGGAGCUGCUCCUUGGGGCAUUUACUCCCCUGGCCCUGGGGUGGUGACUACAGGAUCCCACAGGUGUCCCGAGGCCUGAGGCUCUUCUCACAGCGGAGGCCGCUCUGCAGGAACUGGAGUUAGGACCCGGAGGGUGGGACGCACUGACUCAGAGGAGCUGGCUGUCGGGCCGGCAGGAGGAGGAGAUGUGCAAUGAGACGGAGCCUCACCUCCAGGGACGGCCCCGCGAGCCGGAGCUGCCCUGCUGCACACUCAGCACUCGAGGCGGGCUCGGAGGUGAUCUAAGCCCACAGCUGUCCAAGUCUGGAGAGAAUCCGCGGUGGGUGGCAGGUGCCUGCGGACGCUGAAUGUGCAGCCCCAGUCACGCUCAAUGCGGGGGCGCCUGUGUUAGCCGCUGACAUGGACAGGAAAGGCCUGUGCUGAACAAUGUUCCGUGCUCAAUUAGACACUUUCCUAAACAGGAGUGGAAGGUGUCUCGUGGGGGCUCCAAGCGAGAUUUAUGGAACUCACUCUCAUGAGAUAUGCAACGUUUUUCACACGUGGGAGAAAGGUCUGGGAUCGACUGGUGCCUGAGAGAAUGCUGAGGAUAAAUGGGAAGCAGGACAUUCCAGGGCACCUUUGCGUCUUGCAUGAGACCUUGUGAGGGCCCCGUAGUGCCCCUGACGUCACUGUCAAAGCUGGAGCUGCCCCCGCAUCCGCCUCGGCCUCCCUCGGGCGUCCUCCCCAGAUGGCCCUGUCAGCUCACAUGGAAGACAGCUGCUGAGAAGCAGGUGGCUGAGAAGCAGGUGUGAUGCCAGGCCGUGGGAGAAGCCGCAUCUGGACAGUGCGUGAAGCCAGUCCAGGGGCCACACUGGGACCUGCUCUCAGCUCUGCCACGUCCUGGGCAGGUGGCCCUGGCAUGCCAGCCGCGGUGUCCGCAGAGGCAUCCAUUCCUCAUGGCAAAGUGGAGGCAAAAGUCAAGUUGGCCGAUGCGGGCGAGACGCCUGGCCGACCCGGGGAGCCGCACCACCGCUCCCCACAUUGUGCUGCUGACUGAGGGGUGUUCAGUGCACGGCUUCACACAGUCAGUGCACAGACAUGACCGCCGGCCUGAGAAGCCACCGCGUGCACCUGGCCCACCAAGUCGGCAGGGAGGCAGGCGCGGUGUUGGCGCGGAUCACCGAAGGAGCUGGCUGCCCAGCCGUCCCCGUGACUGGAUGGAGUCCAAACGUUCCUGUGCAUCCUCUCUGGGAUGGGCUCGGUGCCAGGGCCCAGGGUAGUUUUCAAAUUGCAGGUCGUGGCUGUUAUACCGGGGUCAUGGGGUCAGUACACUGGGCUCUAACUGGCAAUUCCUAAAAAUAAAAUCUGAGUCUGUCUCGUAUAGUUA